rnacentral:rRNA from 1 species
AAGUCGUAACAAGGUCUCCGUUGGUGAACCAGCGGAGGGAUCAUUACCGAGUUUUCAACUCCCUAACCCUUCUGUGAACCUACCUAUCGUUGCUUCGGCGGACUCGCCCCAGCCCGGACGCGGACUGGACCAGCGGCCCGCCGGGGACCUCAAACUCUUGUAUUCCAGCAUCUUCUGAAUACGCCGCAAGGCAAAACAAAUGAAUCAAAACUUUCAACAACGGAUCUCUUGGCUCUGGCAUCGAUGAAGAACGCAGCGAAACGCGAUAAGUAAUGUGAAUUGCAGAAUCCAGUGAAUCAUCGAAUCUUUGAACGCACAUUGCGCCCGCCAGCAUUCUGGCGGGCAUGCCUGUUCGAGCGUCAUUUCAACCCUCGACCUCCCCUUGGGGGGGUCGGCGUUGGGGACCGGCAGCACACCGCCGGCCCUGAAAUGGAGUGGCGGCCCGUCCGCGGCGACCUCUGCGCAGUAAUACAGCUCGCACCGGAACCCCGACGCGGCCACGCCGUAAAACACCCAACUUCUGAACGUUGACCUCGAAUCAGGUAGGACUACCCGCUGAACUUAA